GGUCGGUGUGGUUCUCAGCAGAGGUGGCGCGCGGGAAGCGCGAAGGGGCGCUGCCAGCCACUCGCAACUAGCUAGGCCUCCUCCAAGCAGCCCACUCCCCCCUCGGCCUGGCCCGGCCAGGCCCUGCCCUCUUCACUGCUGCUGGGACUUCUCCUUUCCUAACGUGUUACAUGUGAAGAGGCAGGUGCCAAGCUGCGGGUGGGAGCAUCCUGCCUCCCUGCUGGGCGAGCCCUGCCAGCUGCGUGAGGCACGUGGGCGGGGAUCUGCUCUCCCAGCAGGCGCAGACACCCACCUGACAGCCUCCUCGCCUAGGUUGCAUUAAGUGAACAUGCUGUGAGAUAAAAAUUGCUUCUCAGAAGGAGGUGUUUGCCUGAACUGCUAUGAAGGGUCUGCUUUUACUUCUUGUUGGAGCUCCUGAAAUCCUGUCUGCAGCCCUGGUUGGGAGUAGG